rnacentral:rRNA from 1 species
GACGAACGCUGGCGGCGUGCCUAACACAUGCAAGUCGAGCGGAGAUGAUGUGAGGAAGUUUUCGGAUGGAAUCACAUUAUUUUAGCGGCGGACGGGUGAGUAACGCGUGAGCGACCAACCUUGCACAGGGGGAUAACGGACCGAAAGGUUCACUAAUACCGCAUGAGACCACGGUGUUGCAUGACACAGAGGUCAAAGGAGCAAUCCGGUGCAAGACGGGCUCGCGUCCGAUUAGGUAGUUGGAGGGGUAACGGCCCACCAAGCCUAUGUUCGGUAGCCGACCUGAGAGGGUGAUCGGCCACAUUGGAACUUGGAUACGGUACAAACUCCUACGGGAGGCAGCAGUGGGGAAUAUUGGGCAAUGGGGGAAACCCUGACCCAGCAACGCCGCGUGAAGGAAGGAGGUUUUCGGAUUGUAAACUUCUGUCCUUGGUGAAGAGAAGAAGACGGUAGCCAAGGAGGAAGCCCCGGCUAACUACGUGCCAGCCGCCGCGGUAA